UCCACGUAGCCCCGCCCCUCGCACACGCCCCCAGCCUUGACCAAGGCUGCAGGAAGUAGGGAGCAGCCAUCUGGGAACUGGGGGGCCUGUGGGAGCGUGGAGUAGCGGAUGCUGUCCCCCUGAUGCAGUCUCUGACCCUAAGGCUCUCGGCUUUGGUACCAGAAUGGGAGGGUGAUAGGUUGGGCAGGUGAACCCCCCAACCACCGAGGUGUGCUCCCCCCAGCGGAUCACAGAGUGUCGGCCUGGGUUCGCUUUCUGCCUGUGCGUUUCAGAUUUCACUUUCCUUUUCUCUUUAAAACACAUAGCAUGUUUUUUUUCUCCCACUCCCCCUCCCUCACCUGUGGGUCCCCAGACCAGUGCGGCCCUCUUUCAGCCCCCGUUUGCCACAGCGUGAAGGGAAAUCAGACAAGCGGAGGAUCCAGGUCUAUGGAAACCACUGGAAGUCUGAAUCUGUGGACAAUAGCCACCUGCCACCAAGACACAUUAACUAGGUUCCUUUCAGUACCCAGGAGGACCCUGCACUCCGCCCGGCGGUGCACGGGAGGGAGGGCUUAUGUCCCACCAGGCCAUCCUGGUGGGUACAGUUCCAGACAGCCCAGCCUUUAAAAGAUGCGAUUAGCAUUUGAAUCAGUGGACCCAGCAAUGCAAAUUGCGGAGGACUCACCCUCUGCAGUGUGGCUGAGCAUCAUCCAAUCUGAAUACAACAAAAGGUGAAUGAAGAAGGAAUUUACCUCUUUUUUCCCACCUCACUGAAUGAGCUAGGAUAUGUCAUCUCCUCUUCUCCAGCCCUGGGCUGGGAUUUACACCACUGGCUCCCCUCACAUCUUUGGAUUUGGACUGAAUUAUACUGCUGGCUUUCCUGGGACUCUAGCUUGCAAACAUGGGAUCACAGGACUUCUCAGGCUCUAUAAUCAGCAUUCUAGAAAUUAAACGGCAAGUAUAGCAACUAACCCAACAGCCACAACGUGAACAAGCCCCACUAAGCUGGACUCACACGUGUUGGAUACUUCAUCACAUGCUUUCUACACACCUACUGUGCGUGAGCAGCAAGGCCACUUGGGUUUGAAGCCUGGCUCCACUACUUCUGAAUUAUAUAACCUUGAGCAAGUUCCUCAACCUCUCUGUGCUUCACUCUGCCUCCAUUCUUCAUCUUUAAUUGAGGAUAAUAAUACCGCAUGCCUCAGUAGGUUGCCUGUGAGGAUUAAAUGGGAUCAUUAGAACAGUGUCUGGCAGCAAUGUAAAUGCUCCCUCGUGUUGGUUACUUUUAUUACAGGUCAGUCACAGUGCUGACUCGGGGGACUAUGGGGACUCAGCUUCCCAUCUGGGUCCUGCUCUUGUUGAACUUUUCCUCCAAAGACAGUCAUAAGAGCUGCAAAUACAAUGAGUUUCAGGAGACGGGAAGUUCAAGGAUUACACACAUGAAUUAACAGAUUGUGUGUGUUUCACUGUGCCAUUUCUGAGCAAGCUCCUUGCAAAUAUCAGCUAUUUCCUAAAUGCAUAAUUAGCAUGUGUAAAGCUCAACAGAGAUCCCUUUGCUCUGCGAGCAUCUUUGUGAGCAGAAGACUCUAUUACUAGGGAGACUAUAAAUGAGUCCACUCCAAUUUCAAUCUGCUCCACAUCAGAAAGGGAUGUAUGUGCCUACUUCUUAUGAAUUUUCUCCUGAAAGAAAGAAUCAUAGAGUCGACAUAAUAGCUUGCUCAUUUGCAGGGCAGAUAGGUCACACAACUGAAAGGGCUUUAAAAGAGAACUGUAAGCAAGGGGUAUAAUUGCACCUGCCAACGUAAGGGUUUCUUAGAGAAGUUUCCAAUGUGAGCACUGCCCUCAUAGCAGUGAUUCUUCAUGUCUUGGGUCUUAACAGUAUCACUUAACAAACUGGUAAAGUUUAGAAAACUGCAUGUAUGUGCAUAAAUGCUAUUUGUAUACACCUGGUACGCAGU